rnacentral:rRNA from 1 species
CCCUUAGAUGUUCUGGGCUGCACGCGCGCUACACUGACGCACGCAACAGGUACCUGCUCCGAGAGGACUGGGUAAUCAUUUGAGUGUGCGUCGUGAUGGGGAUAGAAUAUUGUAAUUAUUACUCUUCAACGAGGAAUUCCUAGUAAGCGCCAGUCAGCAGCUUGCGCUGAUUACGUCCCUGCCCUUUGUACACACCGCCCGUCGCUCCUACCGAUGGGUGAUCCGGUGAAUGAUUCGGACUUCAGCGGCUCCCCUGGGGUGCGCCGGAGAAAGUUUUGUGAACCUUAUCACUUGGAGGAAGGAGAAGUCGUAACA